AGAUAAUAGAUACCCUGGUAGUCCACGCCGUAAACGAUGAGCACUAGAUGUUGCGGGUAUUGACCCCUGCAGUGUCGACGCUAACGCAUUAAGUGCUCCGCCUGGGGAGGUACGGCCGCAAGGCUAAAACUACAAAGGAAAUUGACGGGGGCCCGGCACAAGCGGUGGAGUAUGUGGUUUAAUUUACGACGCAACGCGCAGAACCUUACCCGGGACUUUGUACAUCGAGGUAAGACCGGUAGAAAUAUCGGUCGCCCCUUCGGGGGUACGAAACGACAGGUGCUGCAUGGCUGUCGUCAGCUCGUGUCGUGAGAUGUUGGGUUUAAGUCCCGCAACGAGCGCAACCCCUGUCAUUAGUUGCCAGCGGAUAAUGCCGGGGCGACUCUAAUGAGACUGCCGUCGUCAAGACGGAGGAAGGCGGGGAUGACGUCAAGUCCUCAUGGCCCUUAUAUCCGGGGGUCGUACACAC
rnacentral:rRNA from 1 species